rnacentral:lncRNA from 1 species
GGGGGUUUCCAUGGUGAUGGUCAACAAGCCUCAACUGCCUCUGCUACAACUGCCAAGUUCCCCGCGUCCCACCCUCCUCUAGGUGCUCCGAGGGACCACCGGGGUGCCUGAUAUGAGAGCGGGAGUGUAGAGACUCGGAGGCCGAGGUUGAGAACAAAAACAUGCACCUGGAGUUUCCCUGGAGCCCUCUGCGUGGUUGAGCUUCGGUGGAAUUUCGGGGCUCUUGGCUGCCAGCC